rnacentral:rRNA from 1 species
AUUGAACGCUGGCUCCAGGCCUAUCACAUGCACGUCGAAUGAGUGGUGGACGGGUGAGUAACAUCUGGGAAACUGCCUGAUGGAGGGGGAUAACUACCGGAAACGGUAGCUAAUACCGCAUACCAUCAGCUGUGCCCCGAUGGGAUUUGCUUGUUGGUGAGGUAACGGCUCACCAAGGCGCAGAUCCCUAUCUGGUAUGCGUGGAUGACCAGCCAAACUGGAACGGAGACACGGUCCAGACUCCUAUGGGAGGCAGCAGUGGGUAGUAAUGCACAAUGGGCGCAAGCCGGAUGCAGCCAGGCAGCGUGUAUGAAGAAGGCCUUCGGGUUGUAAAGUACUUGCAGCGGGGAGGCGUUACCCGCAGAAGAAGCACCGACAAACUCCGUGCCAGCAGCAGCGGGAAUGC